CCUUCUCAGGAUCUGGUUCACUGGUCCCAUUACAGAGUCAGCACAUUCAGAGCAUUCCCUGUACACCGGUUCAGCUUCUCUGUGUAAAUAACGAUUCCUAGGUGUUUCUGCUUUAGAGACCUUCUGAUACGUUUCAGUGCCGAUGUGGCAGAUCCCAGGACAUCUGAAGCAAGGUUUUCCCAGCAGAGAUGGAGAGGUGCUGCUGGACCUUUGCAAAGUCCUCUUCGCAAGGUUGCACCAGGCAAAAGACACCUGCAGAAGCAAAUGCCUCUGCUCUCCCGCAAAUGAUGCUUCACCCAGGGGAGAUGUGCUGCAUGAGUUUCACCUUUGAGGGGCAGGUGCAAUAGGCAGAGGAGGCUUGAACAUGGGAGACCUUCAACCAAAGCAUCCUGACCCCAGAAGAGGUGUCUCUUAAGCCAGAGAUUUUCCAAGUCCUGAAGAAGUUUCUUGCUAAGCCCCAGCUCCUGGAAUCACGUCAGUUUGUGUCCAGCCAAGCUUUCAAGAGAUGCAUGAAGUUAUCUGGACCUAAAGCCAGUUUGGGGUGGGGAAGACAGAGAUUCUCCUGCAUCCAAUGUCAAUGAAGAAUGUCUGGAGGACAAGAGAUCCCUAUGCUUUUUUCCUUGCCUAGAUGAGAAUGCCUGUUCUUCUAAGCUGUAUAUAGCCCUGCUUCUGCAGACUGGGCACUGGGGUGCCACGUUGCAUGGUGAAGGAUUAGGUAAUUUCCUUCCCUUCUUUUCUGGAAGGUGUUUUGAUUAGUAUAACCAUUGUGUUCCCAAAUUAGCUUGUGUUCCUGGCUUUGCCCUUAGGCUGGCUUUUCCUGUUACAAGCCUGCUCUGGCACAAGUGAUACCGCAGCAUCUACAGCAGCAUCGAAUGGUGCAGCUGAGGUUGGGAUGGAUCCAGCUACACUCAGUCUACCAGCUGCCCUUUCUGAGUGACCUUAGGCUAAUGCUGAGUCCUACAGCUCUCUAGCAUUCCAGUGCCUGGCAUAGCUGUGUGGAAGCUUCCAAACAGCCCAAGCUUUGAUGUGAGA